rnacentral:lncRNA from 1 species
AUUGGCCUAAGCCGUUUUCAUGUGCGGAAAUAAAAGCAAUGAUUACAAGAGUUAUUGAUACAUCAUCAAGUUUGUGCACUAUAAAAAGUUCUGGAUUAUAAGUUGCCAUGUCCAACGCAGGGAUACUUUCGAACAAGAUGGGCCGCAAAGCAACAAUCACAUCCUACUCCGGUCUUUUCUCCACUCCUUCCUCGACAUCAUGUACCACAACUUGAUGCUGGUUGAAUGACAAAAAGAAAUAAGUUAGCUAGCAUCAGUUCAGAAUCUCACAACACUAUUUUGUAGUAUAAGCAAACUAAUGAAAUAGUAUCAACCAACAUAUGAUUUGUGCACUAUGCAUAAAAAAUCAAGAUUACAAAUAUAGUUUAGGAACGCAAUCACAAGGCUGUCCAGUAACCCAAUUUGUUUACUUGAAAAAGUCUCCAGAUGAACAGGGCAAUAUAUUGAUGUGAGGUGAGUUAUGAGGCAAUAGGAGGUGAAACCAAUGGGAGGAGGCCACCAAAUUAAGUAUCACUAACAAGCUUGUAAAGGUACACAGAAACUACCAAACAAAAGGCAGUAACAUUUCUCCAAAUGUGUGGCUCUUCUAGUCAGUUUUAAAAGAAUGAAGUGUGUUUUGUCUUUGCUUAUCUAUCAUCAAUUAACAGAGAGAAACAAGCUUAUACAAAGCUCCAGUCAAUAAUGCCACAAAGUAAAUAAAUAUAAAUGGAUGUAGUGCAAAACAAGAAGGUGAACUAGUUACACACCUUAUGCUAUCUACAUCUCAGAAAUCUCCUCCUUCAACCAAUAAAGCCGAAGAUUUGAGUCCUUGGUAUUGAUGAAUAUUUCUUGAUUCAUUGGGCAUUUAAAAAGCCGCAGUGCCUUUGCUUUUUCUGCAACUGAUAGAUCUUUCGUUGGUUCUAGCGCAGCCACACAGUUUCCAAUCGAGAACAUGUCAUCUGGCUUUGAUUCCUUCAACUCGUCAACCAGUUUUGCAGAUUGUUUCUUUCAAAAAUCCAUGUAAUCCUCAAGUACAACAGUGAUCUGGCUUUGCUUCCUCUUUUUCACAGGCAGUGCUCCCUUUUGUUCAGAGUUGGUAGAUGUUGUAGCUUCAGGUUCAUCUCUUCUUGAUGCCCAUUGCCCUUGUAGAUCAGACGAGGACAUACCAUCAUCAACAUUGGUAGAGGAGAUACGGUUCAAAUCAUUGGUAGAGGAAUCCAUAGGAGAAAUGGCAUCGCUUGUGAGAUCCACUUGCGGAAUUGAUACAAAGUUCAAGUCUCCUGAAGCAACACUUCCUGCUCCAAAAAAAGAAACAUAUCAGCAUGUUCUCGUAGAAACAUCAGAUUCAUCUAUAAUUGCAAAUACAUAUAUUACUGCCACCCAUUCCAGAAAGAAACUAUAUAUACACAUAACUUGGUCCUUCAUCGUACAACUUUUUAGAAAGAAAAAGAGCACUCAAGCAGGGUCUGAUGGAAACACAUGAAAAAAUACAGGUAUCUCAACAAUCUCCCAAAUACUAUAUAAUUAAAGCAAGAAUGAAAAGGAUUUAAUAUGCAGGGUCGACGGAAACACAUGAUACAGGAAACACACCUUCAUGUAGUAAAGCCAAUGACUUGAAGAGCAUGAAUGGUUUUGAACGGAACUUCUUUACCCUUGCAUUAUCCUAUUGAAUGCAACAACAUUGUAUGGUUGGGAUCAAUAAAACAAUGCCUUGAAGAGCAUAAAUGGCAGUGAACAAACAAUAUAUCAAGAAAAGAGCUAACCUUGAUAAGUUUAUCCCAUAUUACAGGUUCAGCGAUGAUCAUGCAAAGUGUAUCAUCCCAUCCCGUGCCGCUCUGUUUCCGAGAGUCUCUCACUGCCUUAUAAUUUCCUUUUAAAUCCUUAUCCUUCUCUUAGAUUUGUUGCUUGGUGAAAUUAGCUAGUGGAAAUUUCUGAUUUGAAUGUAUUUGUAAUUCUAGUCCACCCUUCAGUAGUCCACCCAUUUUGACCUCGAUAGAUGGGAUUGUUGUGGUCAAGCAUUAUAUCAACAAGACCUUUCUCAUAUGCAUGGUCCCAAGAUGCCCUAGGCGCUGCCAUUGCUACAUUAUUGAACCAACAAUGGGGUACUAGUUAAAUUUCUCUCUACCACUGCUUUACCUAAGAAAAGGUGAGAAAAACUUUACAAAAUAAACUCAUGUCCGACUGGUUGUUAUAAUCAGCCCACAUUUGCAUCGCGAUCUGAUCUCUAAGAGUGUUUCCAUUGUUUGCCUCAUUGUGAUGAUAUUGGUUGACAUCAUCUCCCUCUGGAACAUCAACAUAUGUUUCUGGUGGAAUUAACGGUGGUUGGUGAUCCAACCAUGCCUCAUCACCACUUUGAGCUCUAAUGAUGUUAUGGAAUACAGCACAUGCCGCCGGAAUCUUGAUUUGUGACUCUAUUGGGUAGUGAUUGCCCACUUUCAAGAUAGGGAAACGUUUUUUUAGAACACCAAUGCUCCUUUCGAUGUGGUUCCGGAGAAUUGCAUGGGUAUGGUUGAACAGCUCCCUAUGGUCGGCAUAGCCCGUAUUAGAUGAGCGCCGCCUCCUAAAUUCACUCAGGUGAUACCGAACUCCUCGAUAUGGUGCAAGAAAAGAAGGCGUGUUUGCAUAUCCACCAUCUACGAGAUAAAAUUUUCCAUCUGGCACAUGAAACCCCUUGCUAAUAGCAGAACGAAGAACUCCUGCAUCUGAUGCAGACCCUUCCCACCCACAUGAAAUGAAUGUGAAAUUCAGAUCAAAAUCACAUGCAACCAUGACAUUCUGUGAGAGGGUUUCUUUCCUAUUCCUAAAUGGGGGGGCCUUAUCUUCAGCAAUAGUGAUGGGGAUAUGUGUUCCAUCUAUAGCACCAAUGCAGUUCUGCACAUUGAAAAAGAAACAAAAAAGUUGGUAGGUUUAGAAAUCUAUGUGGAGAAGUUUUCAAAAAUUCCAUUGAUAUGGAGAUGUGUCUGUAGUGGUUCACCUGGAAAUAAGGCCAAUAGCGAUUGUUUGAAACAAUCUUCGGAUGGGGCUGGAGUGAACUUGGAAUCAUUAUAAAUCUUUGGGCUAGAGUUGGAAUUAAGUCAAAAAUCAUGUUUAUCUUCCUAUGAAUUGUCUCUGCGCUGUGUUGGAAGUAUUUUUGUAGAUCUUGAUUACUAGAAUUGUGCGAAAUCAUGUACAUGAACAUUGCCAACUGCUCCUCGACAGAAACACGCGACGUGCCCUUCAAUAGAUUCUCUCUUCUAAGGUAAUCCACGAUAGACUUAAAAAUCUCAGGUUCCAUCCGAAACUCAACCCUAGACCAACUCUCGUGGCCUUCUAAUAUUUCCUUAACCUUUGUAGCCCCGGAUGAAGAUGAUGUGUGAACUGGAUGCUUUUCCUCAUAAAGGGAAGCAUAUAAAGCGGGAACCAAAAGGAAAAAUAGUUCAUCGUCUUCUUCUUGUUCUUGCAAGAUAAUCUUAAUAAUUUUAUUUCUCCUAGAAUCCAUCACUAUCAUACCCAAUGAGAACAAGAUUAAUACAACGAUAAUAAUUAUAAAUAAAGCAAUAAUAAUACCAUCUCUAUUAUGGCUGCAAAGAACCAAUAGCUAGGAGCCUAGAAAGCUUAGGAGUGAAUACAAAGAUAAUACCAUUUCUAUUGUAACAUCUACGUACAUAAUUUAGAGCAUUAGUUUUCCCAUAUACUAAAAUAAGACCACUUUCAAUACUAGGCAGAGAAAAUAACACCACAAGAGCAGUAGUUUUGCAUAAUUUAAGCUUCCUCAAUGACCAGGGAUGACUACGUCACAUACCUUUCUUACUUUGAGUGCAAACUUCUCAAUGACAGAUGAAUCAAAAGGCACCAAGCAAUUGAACACAAAGUCUUCGGAUAAAGCCAACUUCUAAUGUCAGAGCAGACCCACAAAUCAGCACCUACUAGAAAUCAAUGGUCACUCAUCAGUCAGACAAACCAAACAAAAUAUUUGUUGGUUUCACAACCAGAUAAGCUAGGAUCAAUCAAAUGCAGCAUGUGAGUAUAGGACAUAGGCCAUUCUUCCUGUAUACCACUCCAUUUUUCAACUAUAAAACAGAACACAAUGAAAUGACUCUGUUACUCUACAUGGUAAGCUAUUAUUAUUCCCAGGUUUCACGUAACAAUUUGGCAAACAAUAUAUGUAACUCUUCUGCAUGCACUUCGAGAGAGCAAAGCAAGAUCGACGGCCAUUGAGCAAAACAUGAUCGGUCGCAGUUUAGCAAUUCACGUGGUGAACCACAAAUUGGCGCAUGUUGUUUCAGUUUGUAGUCAACAUACAUAUGGUACAUGUUAAAGGGUUCGGAUUGAUUAGCUAGCAACAUACAUAGGGUAAACAAAGGGGUCAAGGAAAACUAAGAAUUGCUUAUAAGAAUGGGGGCACUACAUAAUUCAUCAUAUCCUAUACUGAAUUUCUAGUACAUGAUGAUAAGAUAAUACUCCCAAGUCAAGCACCUCCUUGACUGAACCGACCCAUAAACAAAUUUGCCUUCUUCACAAUAUACUAGAACAUUGUGCAUAUAGAUUAGCAUGACAGGGAGGAAAAGGUGGUUGUGCUCACUUGUGAGUUCAAGACAGUAAGAUGCACUGCAAAACGUUCGAUGUUCUUCAGUACACUUGCUAACUUGGGUACAAAUCUCAGACAGGAGAGGAGGUCCUUCGAU